CCAAUAGCGUAUAUUAAAGUUGUUGCAGUUAAAAAGCUCGUAGUUGAAUUUCGGGAUCAUCAGGUUGGUCGUGCCUCUGGUAUGUACUGAUUUCGAUGGUCCCUCCUUCUUGAAGAGCCGUAAUGCCAUUAAUUUGGUGUUGCGGGGAAUCAGGACUGUUACUUUGAAAAAAUUAGAGUGUUUAAAGCAGGCAAUCGCUUGAAUACAUUAGCAUGGAAUAAUGAAAUAGGACGUUCGAUCCUAUUUUGUUGGUUUCUUGGAUUGACGUAAUGAUUAAUAGGGAUAGUUGGGGGCAUUAGUAUUCAAUUGUCAGAGGUGAAAUUCUUGGAUUUAUUGAAGACUAACUACUGCGAAAGCAUUUGCCAAGGAUGUUUUCAUUAAUCAAGAACGAAAGUUAGGGGAUCGAAGACGAUCAGAUACCGUCGUAGUCUUAACCAUAAACUAUGCCGACUAGGGAUCGGAUGAUGUUAAUUUUUUAAUGACUCAUUCGGCGCCUUACG
rnacentral:rRNA from 1 species